GUUUGGUUGCCUUGAUUUUUGGCUUAGAAGAUAGCUAGAAUGAGCUCAAGAGCCUAGAGGAUCAAAGUUGGAUAAGGGAAAGAAAGAGGUGAUCGAAUAGCCAUCGUAAUCGUUCGGCAACUUCCGAGAUCUCAUUUGGAAGCU